rnacentral:rRNA from 2 species
UGGGGAAUAUUGCACAAUGGGCGAAAGCCUGAUGCAGCAACGCCGCGUGAGCGAUGAAGGCCUUUGGGUCGUAAAGCUCUGUCCUUGGGGAAGAAAAAAAUGACGGUACCCUUGGAGGAAGCCCCGGCUAACUACGUGCCAGCAGCCGCGGUAAUACGUAGGGGGCAAGCGUUAUCCGGAAUUAUUGGGCGUAAAGAGUGCGUAGGUGGUUUUGUAAGCGCGGGGUGAAAGGCAAUAGCUUAACUAUUGUAAGCCCUGCGAACUGUGAGACUUGAGUGCAGGAGAGGAAAGUGGAAUUCCUAGUGUAGCGGUGAAAUGCGUAGAUAUUAGGAGGAACACCAGUGGCGAAGGCGACUUUCUGGACUGUAACUGACACUGAGGCACGAAAGCGUGGGGAGCAAACAGG